GGGGAGGUGGAAGUAGCGGGUCCAUAUGCUUUGGAGACCGCGAGGUGCCGCCCAGCAGCAGCUCUCGACCCUCCCAACGCCGGUCUGCCGGCCGCUGCCCUCCAUCCCCUCCAGCAGAACAAAACCCCAACACAUGCUCCUCGAUGCCCUCAAUGGCUGAAUCCCUUCCCGAUCCCUCGUGCUCCUCCCCCCACCCGAUAUCCCCCUCGCCGGCCUCUCGCCGGUGCUGAUUCUGCAGCUCAGAUAACCAGUUCCAGCGAGUAGAAGAAGAAGAAGAAGAAGAAGAAGAAGAGCAGAAGCGAGAAGAAGAAGAAGAAGAAGAGAGGAAGAUGAUUACCGGGACAGACUUCUACCAUGUGAUGACAGCGAUGGUGCCGCUGUACGUGGCGAUGAUCCUAGCCUACGGCAGCGUGAGGUGGUGGAAGAUCUUCACGCCGGACCAGUGCUCCGGGAUCAACCGGUUCGUG
rnacentral:lncRNA from 1 species